AUUGAACGCUGGCGGCAUGCUUUACACAUGCCAGUCGAACGGCAGCGCGGGCUUCGGCCUGGCGGCGAGUGGCGAACGGGCGAGUAAUACAUCGGAACGUGCCCAGUAGUGGGGGAUAGCUCGGCGAAAGCCGGAUUAAUACCGCAUACGACCUGAGGGUGAAAGCGGGGGAUCUUCGGACCUCGCGCUAUUGGAGCGGCCGAUGGCAGAUUAGCUAGUUGGUGGGGUAAAGGCCUACCAAGGCGACGAUCUGUAGCUGGUCUGAGAGGACGACCAGCCACACUGGGACUGAGACACGGCCCAGACUCCUACGGGAGGCAGCAGUGGGGAAUUUUGGACAAUGGGCGAAAGCCUGAUCCAGCAAUGCCGCGUGUAUGAUGAAGGCCUUCGGGUUGUAAAGCACUUUUGGCGGGAACGAAAAGGACUGUGCCAAUACCACGGUUCGAUGACGGUACCCGCAGAAUAAGCACCGGCUAACUACGUG
rnacentral:rRNA from 1 species